AGCGAACGCUGGCGGCAGGCCUAACACAUGCAAGUCGAACGAACCUUUCGGGGUUAGUGGCGGACGGGUGAGUAACACGUGGGAACGUGCCUUUAGGUUCGGAAUAACUCAGGGAAACUUGUGCUAAUACCGAAUGUGCCCUUCGGGGGAAAGAUUUAUCGCCUUUAGAGCGGCCCGCGUCUUAUUAGCUAGUUGGUUGAGGUAAUGGCUCACCAAGGCGACGAUCAGUAGCUGGUCUGAGAGGAUGAUCAGCCACAUUGGGACUGAGACACGGCCCAAAAUCCUACGGGAGGCAGCAGUGGGGAAUCUUGCGCAAUGGGCGAAAGCCUGACGCAGCCAUGCCGCGUGAAUGAUGAAGGUCUUAGGAUUGUAAAAUUCUUUCACCGGGGACGAUAAUGACGGUACCCGGAGAAGAAGCCCCGGCUAACUUCGUG
rnacentral:rRNA from 1 species